AACGAACGCUGGCGGCAUGCCUAACACAUGCAAGUCGAACGAGACCUUCGGGUCUAGUGGCGCACGGGUGCGUAACGCGUGGGAACCUGCCCUUAGGUUCGGAAUAACUCCCCGAAAGGGGUGCUAAUACCGGAUAAUGUCUUAGGACCAAAGAUUUAUCGCCUUUGGAUGGGCCCGCGUUGGAUUAGCUAGUUGGUAGGGUAAAAGCCUACCAAGGCGACGAUCCAUAGCUGGUCUGGGAGGAUGAUCAGCCACACUGGGACUGAGACACGGCCCAGACUCCUACGGGAGGCAGCAGUGGGGAAUAUUGGACAAUGGGCGAAAGCCUGAUCCAGCAAUGCCGCGUGAGUGAUGAAGGCCUUAGGGUUGUAAAGCUCUUUUACCCGAGAUGAUAAUGACAGUACCGGGAGAAUAAGCUCCGGCUAACUCCGCG
rnacentral:rRNA from 1 species